rnacentral:rRNA from 1 species
UUAAGCGACUAAGCGUACACGGUGGAUGCCCUGGCAGUCAGAGGCGAUGAAGGACGUGCUAAUCUGCGAUAAGCGUCGGUGAGGUGAUAUGAACCGUUAUAACCGGCGAUUUCCGAAUGGGGAAACCCAGUGUGUUUCGACACACUAUCAUUAACUGAAUCCAUAGGUUAAUGAGGCGAACCGGGGGAACUGAAACAUCUAAGUACCCCGAGGAAAAGAAAUCAACCGAGAUUCCCCCAGUAGCGGCGAGCGAACGGGGAGGAGCCCAGAGCCUGAAUCAGUGUGUGUGUUAGUGGAAGCGUCUGGAAAGGCGUGCGAUACAGGGUGACAGCCCCGUACACAAAAAUGCACAUAUUGUGAGCUCGAUGAGUAGGGCGGGACACGUGGUAUCCUGUCUGAAUAUGGGGGGACCAUCCUCCAAGGCUAAAUACUCCUGACUGACCGAUAGUGAACCAGUACCGUGAGGGAAAGGCGAAAAGAACCCCGGCGAGGGGAGUGAAAAAGAACCUGAAACCGUGUACGUACAAGCAGUGGGAGCCUCUUUAUGGGGUGACUGCGUACCUUUUGUAUAAUGGGUCAGCGACUUAUAUUCUGUAGCAAGGUUAACCGAAUAGGGGAGCCGAAGGGAAACCGAGUCUUAACUGGGCGUUAAGUUGCAGGGUAUAGACCCGAAACCCGGUGAUCUAGCCAUGGGCAGGUUGAAGGUUGGGUAACACUAACUGGAGGACCGAACCGACUAAUGUUGAAAAAUUAGCGGAUGACUUGUGGCUGGGGGUGAAAGGCCAAUCAAACCGGGAGAUAGCUGGUUCUCCCCGAAAGCUAUUUAGGUAGCGCCUCGUGAAUUCAUCUCCGGGGGUAGAGCACUGUUUCGGCAAGGGGGUCAUCCCGACUUACCAACCCGAUGCAAACUGCGAAUACCGGAGAAUGUUAUCACGGGAGACACACGGCGGGUGCUAACGUCCGUCGUGAAGAGGGAAACAACCCAGACCGCCAGCUAAGGUCCCAAAGUCAUGGUUAAGUGGGAAACGAUGUGGGAAGGCCCAGACAGCCAGGAUGUUGGCUUAGAAGCAGCCAUCAUUUAAAGAAAGCGUAAUAGCUCACUGGUCGAGUCGGCCUGCGCGGAAGAUGUAACGGGGCUAAACCAUGCACCGAAGCUGCGGCAGCGACACUAUGUGUUGUUGGGUAGGGGAGCGUUCUGUAAGCCUGUGAAGGUGUACUGUGAGGUAUGCUGGAGGUAUCAGAAGUGCGAAUGCUGACAUAAGUAACGAUAAAGCGGGUGAAAAGCCCGCUCGCCGGAAGACCAAGGGUUCCUGUCCAACGUUAAUCGGGGCAGGGUGAGUCGACCCCUAAGGCGAGGCCGAAAGGCGUAGUCGAUGGGAAACAGGUUAAUAUUCCUGUACUUGGUGUUACUGCGAAGGGGGGACGGAGAAGGCUAUGUUGGCCGGGCGACGGUUGUCCCGGUUUAAGCGUGUAGGCUGGUUUUCCAGGCAAAUCCGGAAAACCAAGGCUGAGGCGUGAUGACGAGGCACUACGGUGCUGAAGCGACAAAUGCCCUGCUUCCAGGAAAAGCCUCUAAGCAUCAGGUAACAUCAAAUCGUACCCCAAACCGACACAGGUGGUCAGGUAGAGAAUACCAAGGCGCUUGAGAGAACUCGGGUGAAGGAACUAGGCAAAAUGGUGCCGUAACUUCGGGAGAAGGCACGCUGAUAUGUAGGUGAAGCGACUUGCUCGUGGAGCUGAAAUCAGUCGAAGAUACCAGCUGGCUGCAACUGUUUAUUAAAAACACAGCACUGUGCAAACACGAAAGUGGACGUAUACGGUGUGACGCCUGCCCGGUGCCGGAAGGUUAAUUGAUGGGGUUAGCGGUAACGCGAAGCUCUUGAUCGAAGCCCCGGUAAACGGCGGCCGUAACUAUAACGGUCCUAAGGUAGCGAAAUUCCUUGUCGGGUAAGUUCCGACCUGCACGAAUGGCGUAAUGAUGGCCAGGCUGUCUCCACCCGAGACUCAGUGAAAUUGAACUCGCUGUGAAGAUGCAGUGUACCCGCGGCAAGACGGAAAGACCCCGUGAACCUUUACUAUAGCUUGACACUGAACAUUGAGCCUUGAUGUGUAGGAUAGGUGGGAGGCUUUGAAGUGUGGACGCCAGUCUGCAUGGAGCCGACCUUGAAAUACCACCCUUUAAUGUUUGAUGUUCUAACGUUGGCCCGUAAUCCGGGUUGCGGACAGUGUCUGGUGGGUAGUUUGACUGGGGCGGUCUCCUCCUAAAGAGUAACGGAGGAGCACGAAGGUUGGCUAAUCCUGGUCGGACAUCAGGAGGUUAGUGCAAUGGCAUAAGCCAGCUUGACUGCGAGCGUGACGGCGCGAGCAGGUGCGAAAGCAGGUCAUAGUGAUCCGGUGGUUCUGAAUGGAAGGGCCAUCGCUCAACGGAUAAAAGGUACUCCGGGGAUAACAGGCUGAUACCGCCCAAGAGUUCAUAUCGACGGCGGUGUUUGGCACCUCGAUGUCGGCUCAUCACAUCCUGGGGCUGAAGUAGGUCCCAAGGGUAUGGCUGUUCGCCAUUUAAAGUGGUACGCGAGCUGGGUUUAGAACGUCGUGAGACAGUUCGGUCCCUAUCUGCCGUGGGCGCUGGAGAACUGAGGGGGGCUGCUCCUAGUACGAGAGGACCGGAGUGGACGCAUCACUGGUGUUCGGGUUGUCAUGCCAAUGGCACUGCCCGGUAGCUAAAUGCGGAAGAGAUAAGUGCUGAAAGCAUCUAAGCACGAAACUUGCCCCGAGAUGAGUUCUCCCUGAGACUUAGAGUCUCCUGAAGGAACGUUGAAGACGACGACGUUGAUAGGCCGGGUGUGUAAGCGCAGCGAUGCGUUGAGCUAACCGGUACUAAUGAACCGUGAGGCUUAACCUU